UUUGUCGAUUGUAAUUGCGCUCGUGACUUUUUAUUAUUGGAAGCAUUUACAGUGCGGAAAGCGUUAAUUAUGCACUAGAGAAAGAUAAGCAGACCAGAUGAAGACGCUGCCCUAUUCUAAAAUAUAUUAUAUUCGUAGCAAUUUAAAGCUAGUUACUUUCUUGGAUGUGGAAAAUAAUAUCGCGCGCUUUAAAACCAAGUUAAUGUACAAAUUUCUGUCUUGGUAAGAGUUUUUCAAUAGAUAUCCUUUGAAUUAGGGAAGUGCCAGCCAUGUCCUAAUUUGAAAGGGGAUUUUAUAGUACUCAAAAUUGCAUAAAGUCGAAUAAACAGCAGCGCGUUUCGAAGUUCUGAGCAGCAAGAUCGAGGUGGGAAUAAGCAAUGGUAACAAUUGUGGAAUGCACAUAGAAUACAUUGACGCCAGAAUCAGAAAGUGAUCGACAACUUUUGCCAUCACACAUGAAGCAGCAACACCUUGUGCACAGAUAGUAAAUGAAAGAGUGUUUCGUAACACGUAUGAAGAGCAUAUCUAUUUCAAGACGCAUUCAAAUAUACUUCUUCGAAAGAUAUCAGAUAACCGUUUAACCUGAUUCACAACACGACAUAAGUUGGUGCACAUUCACAUGAUUAUAAACGAAGGUUCUGCAGGGCAUCUGAGAAAAUUAAUAUGUAAAUAUGGAAAUUACUCGAUGUUCGGUAGUGAAAAAGUAACUGAUUCAAAUACAAUAUCAAACGUCCUAAAAAAUUAUAGCGAUAAACAGUGUAAACGUAUAAUUAUAGCCCACGUC